rnacentral:rRNA from 1 species
GACGAACGCUGGCGGCAUGCCUAACACAUGCAAGUCGAACGAAGGCUUCGGCCUUAGUGGCGCACGGGUGCGUAACGCGUGGGAAUCUGCCCUUUGCUUCGGAAUAACAGUUAGAAAUGACUGCUAAUACCGGAUGAUGUCGCAAGACCAAAGAUUUAUCGGCAAAGGAUGAGCCCGCGUAGGAUUAGCUAGUUGGUGGGGUAAAGGCCUACCAAGGCGACGAUCCUUAGCUGGUCUGAGAGGAUGAUCAGCCACACUGGGACUGAGACACGGCCCAGACUCCUACGGGAGGCAGCAGUGGGGAAUAUUGGACAAUGGGCGAAAGCCUGAUCCAGCAAUGCCGCGUGAGUGAUGAAGGCCUUAGGGUUGUAAAGCUCUUUUACCCGGGAUGAUAAUGACAGUACCGGGAGAAUAAGCUCCGGCUAACUCCGUG